rnacentral:lncRNA from 1 species
AUUUAAAUUUUGAGAAUGCAUUUUUGUUAUGAGGGAAAUAUACACAUAAGAUAUGAGACAUCAGAGUUUGGGAUAUUACUCAUGAUUCUUAUCCCUGGAAGUAGAAUAUAUAUAUACACGCGCAUUCACAUACAUACUUUUACUUUUCUUUGAAUAGAUCUGCUACCUUAAAUCAUUGAUUUUGCUUUAUCUUUGGAAGGAAAAAGUAUUUUGAUGCAUAAAAUUCUGUAUUUUAAGCUGCUGGUGCGAGUAACAUUGUUCUUGCUGAUUUGGUAGGCUUCUUGUGGUGGGAAUCACGGUAUGCAAUAAUAAUAUUACAAACUCAACACUUCCUCAUAUGUUGACUGUGCCUCAGAACCUCCCAUACACAUCUACAGCUCCUUGGUAUCCCAGAAAUCGGAGCUGUAGUGUCCCAUGGCUGAGCUUCCUUUUGUCAUUGUGUGCCCUUGCUUUGUUUACAGCACUGAAGAAUAAACAAUCCCCUAAGCACCUUUGUCCAAGCAGUGAAAAAACGGAAAUCUCAGUGUCUGCCUGAAUGAUGUCACUGAACCCAGUCGGGAAUUUCUCAUUAGAAGCUUAUUGCAAACCCAUUCUCCAACACCUAAAAUGCUCUAGAUCCUGAAUAAAAAUGGAGAGGAUAAAAAAAUUAAAAGGGAAAAUCAUAUCAUAAAAGGGCAGGGUGGGAAGAGAACAUCCAAUUAGCCAGUAAUUGUAACACCAAGCAAUUGGCACCACAAUCAGGGUGUACCGUAGUGUACUGAUUGUGUCAAAUAUCACAGAAUUGCCCCUCGGCAGAUGAUAGGAAGCUAGGAAGAGACACUAUCUGGAGAACUUUCUCUUUGUCUUGUGGCAAAGUAUCAGGGUAUUGUAAGUUUGCUGCUGUUGUUCUCCAGUGCUAGGCUUUGCAUCUCCCAAAUGCACUGUCCCAGGAGAGUUGGCCUCAGUUCCCCAGUUCUUUGGAAGUAUGUCUUAUUUUCUGGAUCAAAGUACAAGUUGAAGGUAUGGGUUAGAUGAUUUCAGUCCCUCAUUGUUUCACAGAAAGUUGACUGGACCGUGACAUCACAGCAGGGAUGGCCCGUGCUGGUGUCUGAUGGUGUGCCAUGAACGUGCCACUGACGGCUCUGCCCAUUCGUCAUGCACAGAGGAUGCUCAUCUCUACUGAGCCUGUGCCAAACCUCGCUAUGACCUUUCUCUCUCAGCUUCUCAUUGUGAAAAAUGCUUACUUUCUCUAAAACAAGGGAAAUGAAUCUAACAGCUACCUACAUUCAGGAUAGAUAGAUAGAUAGAUAGAUAGAUAGAUAGAUAGAUAGAUAGAUAGAUAGAUAGAUAGAUAGAGUUCCAGACCCAGAUGUGUGAUGGUUAUAUGAAUACUUCUAAUACACACACAUGAGUGCACCCAAGCACACAGUCUUUCUGCCUUCUCUGGAGAGUAUAGCUCGUGAGGCUAGCAACUCUGUUCAUUCUAAUUCCAGACAACUCCAGGAGUCAUAAAAAUACGUAAUUUGAAAUUAAAGUCAAUUAAAGUACGUUGCUUCUUCGGAAAGCUAAAAGGAAAAUACACAUAAGUAAUAGAAAUCAAUUAUUGUGUAUUCCCAGUCCUGUUCUUACAAACCAGAGAGGUAAUCGAUCGCUCUGGAGACUUCUACAAGGUAAUUACUGUUUAUUCUUUGGUGAUAGCCACAUCUUCCCUCUCCUUUCAUGCCAGCCCUCCGCAGCCACCGUCUUGAAGAAAGCAAAUAAGUUGUGUGGAUUUUAUUUAGGUUGGGGUUUUUAUUUGUUUCUUUAAUUUUUUUUUUCAAAAAAUAAAAAAUUAAGGAAAGGGCUGGAAGAAAGUUGGCGUUCUGCCUAAUGGGGACAAUAAGAUCACUUAACUGAAUUCCUUCUGUGACCCCAGGCUUCACUACUUUAGGCCCAUGCUUCAUGCCCAUCAUAACUGCCCUCAGAGAUAAACUCAGCCAGGGCUUGGAGGAAGGGUAUUGCUACAGUGUGGUAUUAGUGGGAAAUGGCUUCCCUGUGCCUGCUUGCUCACUUGGAAAAAAUAAAGUUUGAAAAUAAAGAGCAAUGGAAAAAUAAUGUUGAUCAAUCAAGAAUUUUAAAACAACCAGUAUCCAACUAAAUCCAUCCCCUAUCUUAAAAAAAAAGGAGGAAAUAAAAAAUUAAAAAUAUAGGCUGCUAUCAAAGGACAAAGCAGCUCACCGAGAACCUCUGCUGCAGUGCAGUGGGUGGGUAGCUAGUGAAGACAAGUUACCUUAGCUGAUUUUCACUGACUUUCAAAUUAAGAUCCCAGACCUGGCUUGUAGGGAGAGCUGAACUGGAUCAAACUGAACUUAAUAAACCCCAUUGUGCCCAUAGGCCCCUGGUGAGAUUUUCUGCCCAUCCAUGACCAAUCGGUAUUAUUUUUUUUCAGUGGCUGGUACUUUUGUGAGCAACAUUGGGGUUUCUGGGAGUGAUUAGCACUUUUCACUCUUGAUUGACAGGUUCAAACAGAAAUGAGACAAUGGGAGGGGCCAUUAGAAAUUCAGAUGUAAGGUUGGUGUGCGCAGGCUUUGGGGUUCAUCUUACUAGAGAGGAGCAACAUAUACAGAGAAAGGACUCCAUUGCUAAACAUGCGAACACAAGAAGGGCAGAUUAACCCUUUUGAACUGAAAACCAAUUUUUAAUU